AUUGGAAUGUCUGGAGGCAGGUUUGGAAGGCGUUUUGAAUCCCCUCUUUUGUGGCAAAGCAUUAUCAUGAUUAUUACUAUGUUACUGAUGCUGAAACUGUGCACUGAAGUACGUGUGUCCAACGAGCUAAACAUAAAACGCCGCUCUUUCGCAGCUGCAGAUAGUAAGGAUGAAGAAAUCAAAGCACCUCCCAAGAGAUCUUAUCUGGAUUUUGACUUGAACUACUUUUGGCAUUGGAGCAAGUUUACAGACUACGUGCAGUGUGUCCUGACCUUCACUGGUGUGACCGGUUACAUCACUUACCUCUGGCUUGACUCAUCUCUCUUUGUUGAAACGCUGGGCUUCCUUGCGGUGUUCACCGAGGCCAUGUUAGGUGUUCCUCAGCUCUACCGCAACUACCAGAAUAGGUCUACAGAAGGAAUGAGCGUCAAGAUGGUGCUGAUGUGGACAAGUGGGGACACCUUCAAGACUGUUUACUUUAUCUUGAAUCAGGCCCCUUUCCAGUUCUCCAUCUGCGGGCUCCUCCAGGUUUUUGUGGACAUCGCUAUUCUGCUGCAGGUUUACUUGUACAGCUCGUACCCUCAGAAGCCCGCGUCCCACCCUGCGCACCCUGCCAGCACCAAGGCCCUGUGAGGUGCUCAGCUGGACGGGCUGCAGGUCAGCGGUGCUGCAGUGUCACCUGGGGCGGCUCCUCUUCCAUUUGUAAAUACUCCUACGUUGCCGAGUUGAAAGCAGAAAUGAGAACAAGGAUUGGAAAUCCGACUGCAGUUCCAGCUCUGGAGGUUUUGGUUUAAAUAACUUUCUCUCUCUCUUUUCUGACUUGCUGUACAGACCUGGUUCCUGGUGGGGGGAGGGGCACUUUAUUUUUGCAUAUGUACCCAUGAGCCUUAUCAAUUCACAUACGUUUGUAUAUUUAAUCACAAGGGCUGGAUGUUUUGUGUUUUUAAUGCUAUUUAAAAAUGUUACACCACAGAAAUUAUAGGAUAUUUUGUCUGAAACUUUUACCUAUUUAUAUAAUAUAAAGUCUGUACGUUGGCAGGAAGCGUGUGGCAUAUGUUAGCAUUCAGUAUCACCACGAUGUAGGAAGAAGAGCGAAUGCAGUUCUCUCUCUCUCUUUUUUUUUUUUUUUUCCUUUAAGAAGGAUGUCCGAUGAGCAGAGAAGGUGAGGGAGGAGGGAGGCCCUGCGAAGAGGGGAACGAAGGAAAUGAAUCAGUCCCAGGCAGUAUAAAGCAUCAGUGUGCUAACAAGUGGAAGGUAUUACUGAGGAGAAAACAGCUGCUGUUUUUUCUACUUGGGACUCUUUCACUGUGCAGAUUCUUAAGUCUGUUAUCAGUACCAAAACCAGUGAGCUCUGCAGAUGAGCCUCAUUCAUACCAGAACUGCAAAUGCUGGAAGAGAAGCCAGUGAACUAAUGUCUAAAAUCAUUUUCUAUAUAUGGCAUUCAACAAGGUUGGACACUUAGCCAGGAACUCUUGAACUUCAGCUGAUAAGAUACUUUAGAGACAAAAUGUUACAGAACUUCAUUUUUGUUCUUUGUCAGGAAAUAUUUGUAUCAAUGAUCACCUCAGAGAAUUAAGAAAUCAAUUACUUAAAUACAUCUCUUUGAAUGUAUGGCACAUUUCAUGGAGUUUAUUUUCUGUCAGUUGCAGUGAUUUAAAAAAAAUA